UCCGGGGGGGGGGAGUGGCCAUAGACUGCCUUCCUGCCUCCAUUCCUAGCCUUGCGACUGACCUUACAGCUCUUCCAGUUCGUACAUGUAGACGGAAUGAGGGAAAUGGACGAUGGCCAUUGGGUAAAUACCUUAUAAUUGUUGCAGCCAAGAUCCCUGGGUGGAUCUGAAGUUCAAUAACGGGAAACCUCAUUUAGAAUGGAAUGGGGAGGCCGGCAGGGAAAGCUCUGCACCCUAGGACUUCUGGUCAAUCGCAGGCCCAAUAGGAAGUCCAGCGCCUCGCAAGUCCACAGUGUGUUAGCCACUACUGCGCAGGCCCAGCAAGAGGAAGUUUUUCCCUUGCCCCACAACAGCGCAGCCAAUGAGAGGCAGCCACAGCGCAGCCAAUGAGAGGCAGCCACAGCCCAGCCAAUGAGAGGCAGCCACAGCCCAGCCAAUGAGAAGCCACCACACCUGGCACCGCCGAGCUGCCUGCUCUGGACCCUUUGAAAGGAAACCGGCUCCAGAAACCAGAUGAUCACAGUCUUGCUGUGUUUCGCAGAGCAUGUUCCGGUUCCGCUGAUGUCUUCCCCAUUACCUCCCCUGCUGUGUUUGACCUUUAGCCCCUCACUGUGAAGGAUUCGGUUAGCGGCCAUGUGCCGUUGCUAACAAGAUACUUCAAUUGUGUGCUGUUUGAGUCUCCUACUGAAGAGAGGCAAAUGACAAACCGGGAAAGAGCUUCAACCAGCAGGACACAGGCUUUUGUGUCCAUCACGUGUGGGUUCCUGCCAGUUAGGGAAGACAGGAGCUUUUCCAGCAGGAAAGCAAGCCAGCCCGUGCACAGGCAACCUCAGACAGUACCGGGCACCCUCCUGCUGACGGAUCCCCCGCCAGUGGUGGAGAAGAGUGGCCCAUGUAUCAGCCUGGAAGAAACAGAUGCCUCUCCCUGCCACCUCCGCGACCGAGACUUUCGGCCAGCGGACACUUGACCUCUUGUAGCUGGCCUUCACCCAUCCUUCCUUCCUGUUGGCACCCCACUGACACUUCCGGGCUUCACUGUCAGGGUAGGAAUGUGACUGACUGGAGUUUGGCCAAUGGAUGCCGUCUCACGACAAUCUUGAGUACUGACUGGGAGGCAGGGGUAGAAGUUUCCGACGAAGAGUUCCUGCUUUGAGACAAAUGCAGGUUUCCAGCUGUCAAGGCUCCUGGAGCACGCCCAGUGUCCUUUCCCACCGGUUCUGUCAUUCUGUGACUUGUGACCAGUCCCCUCCUUCACUUUAAGUGAAAGACUA